CAUGGAUUGGAAGAAUGACCUGAGACGAACCCAAUCUGUGGGGCGCAUCCCCUCCUCCAGUGAUAAACCCACCAGGACUGACACAGGACUGCGGGACAAGGUGGCGUCUGUGUCUGAGCUGGUGGCCAGGUAUCAAACCUCAGUGAGGGCAAGUUCAGGAAUCAAAGCAACUUCAAGACACAGCACCCCAGGAGCGACAAAGCCAAAAGGGAUACCAUCUCCACAACUAAGCAGAGAGACCAGCUUGGAGUUUCUGCUGAAGAGAAACGAGGAGAGAAAACAAAGUGGAACCCAGCCCAGUUUGACCCGCAGUAAAUCCGUGGGAAGCCUUCAAAACAGCAGCGGCUCCAUUGAGGCCCUGAAGGCUGUGUUUGAACCCAAGGGAGCUGCAAAAACCAGAGCAAGGAGCAGUUUCCCUCCUGCAAGCGCCACGCCAAAUGGCAUGGCGGAGACGCCAGUGAUGAAUGGAGAGGCAGAGGACAUGCUGAGCCUUACAGAGGGGAAGAAACUACUCACUGAAAACCACCUCAAAUAUGAUGCAAAAGAACAUCAUGAGACUGAGAAGGUGGGGAGUCAGACCCAGGCAGAGAAGAGGACGACCAUAGGGGGGAUUGAUUUUGAAAAAAUGGCAGCUUCUCAAGCUGGUGAGUUUGACACAACAGCAGAUCAGUGGCAUCCACCAAAGGCUGCUUUAUAG
rnacentral:lncRNA from 1 species